ensembl:lincRNA D6Ertd474e DNA segment, Chr 6, ERATO Doi 474, expressed
AUACACUCAGUCUUCAGGAGGAGGCAUCCCCUCUGGGUACAGAACUUCCACCGUGGCUGCUUGCUCAGGAUAAACUGGUAGAACCAUGACUCAUUUUGUCAUUGGGACCACAGGAGGAGGGGCCAGAAGACAAUGAAGUGUGCGGUGAGCACUCUCACAUUUCGUUAGAUGCACCGUCUCUGAACCAGCUUACUCAGAACUUCAGGAUGGCGGUGUGCAGUUACCAACUGUUAAGUCAAAGAUUCUGGACUGUUUAGGAUGCUUCACCGUGUGCUCCAUAAGCUACUCAUCUGAUGUUUCAUAGGAAGCAGAAGAAAUUCCCAGCAAAGUGACCUGUGUUGCAAGACUCAAAAGAGGGAGAGAGGGAGUUGGCUCAGCUCGUGAAGAGCUUGAUGGACAUGAAGACCUGAGCUUGGAUCUCCCAACAUCUUUGUGAAAGGACGGGCACAGCCCCUGAAUCUCCAGAGCUGUGACGAUGGAAGCAAUGGAUCCUCAGAGCUUGCUGGCCAGCCAACCUGCUUGAGUUCAGCUCUAGAUUCUGUGUGACCCUGACUAAAAAACUAAGGCGUGGAGUGACUGAAGAAGAGAUCUGAUGUCAACCACUUGUUCUUAUUUACACACACACACACACACACACACACACACACACACACACACACACACACACUCUUAAAUAAAAAUUAAAUUAUUUGUUGAAAAUGACAAAAAGAUGAACACCAUACAGUUAGAAG